rnacentral:rRNA from 1 species
AACGAACGUUAGCGGCGCGCCUAACACAUGCAAGUCGCACGAGAAAGGGCUUCGGCCCCGGUAAAGUGGCGCACGGGUGAGUAACACGUGGGUAACCUUCCCUCGAGCGGGGAAUAACAUUCCGAAAGGAGUGCUAAUACCGCAUAAGACCACGGCUUCGAAAGGAGCUGAGGUAAAAGCUGGCCUCUUCAUGAAAGCUAGCACUCGAGGAUGGGCCCGCGGCCCAUCAGCUUGUUGGUAGGGUAGCGGCCUACCAAGGCUAAGACGGGUAACUGGUCUGAGAGGAUGAUCAGUCACACUGGAACUGAGACACGGUCCAGACUCCUACGGGAGGCAGCAGUGGGGAAUCUUGCGCAAUGGACGAAAGUCUGACGCAGCGACGCCGCGUGGGUGAUGAAGGCCUUCGGGUUGUAAAGCCCUGUGGGGAGAGACGAAUAAGUCUUGGCUAAUAUCCAAGAUGAUGACGGUAUCUCCUUAGCAAGCACCGGCUAACUCUGUGCCAGCCGCCGCUGUAACAC